UGUGUGGACAAGUUUGCAACAGAUCUUCCAACCUGGAGAGACACAAAGACACCCACACCAUUGAGAAACCGUGGAAAUGUGGGGAUUAUGGGAAGGGAUUCAGUUUCCCAUCCCAAUUGGAAACUCACCGACGCAGUCACACUGGGGAGAGACCGUUCACCUGCUCUGUGUGUGGAAAGGAAUUCACUAAGUCAUCCAGCCUGUGGUCACACCAGAGAGUUCACAGUCACGAGAGGCCUUUUAAAUGUUUUUACUGUGGAGAUUGCUUUAAAACCUCUCCUGAUCUAAUUAAACACCAGCUUGUUCACACUGACAAGAGACCAUUCAGUUGCUCUCACUGUGAGAAGAGAUUCAGACAAUCAUCUCACCUUAUUCAACAUCAGCGAGUUCACACUGGGGAAAGGAUAUUCACCUGCUCUGUGUGUGGGAAGCGAUUCACUCAGUCAUCCAAUCUCCAGAUACACCAACGCACUCACAGUGGGGAGAGGCCAUUCACCUGCUCCGAAUGUGGGAAGGGAUACAAUCGACCAUCCAACUUGUUGAGACACCAGCGGGUUCAUGUGUGACUGCAGGGAUUGGAUGCUGCUGUUAAUCACAUGCUUUGUUUAUUUCUGCUGAAGGCAAUAACUCUUAUUACUGGGCCAGAGUUUAAAGUUCUUUGCAGGGCAGGUGCUGUGCUGGGACUGCAGCAAGUAGGAGUUUCUGGAGAAUAUUGAGAUCCUGGACUAUCAUUUCUGCGGUGAGUGUCUGCAGCUCAGGAAACCUGGGCUCAGGGUUAUUGAGCUGCAGACAUCAGGGAGGGGGAGAGUCAGCUGGACACUUUCUUUCAGGAAGCAGUCACAGCCCCAAGUUUCUGGAGAAAUUUACAGUUAGUCAAUGGUCAGGAUAUAUCAGAAUAUGUCAAGGAAAUCAAUUUUAUCAUCUGUGGUCUUAAUUUCUCUGGGUUAAGAGGAGAGAAACUGACAUCUGGACUUAGUGUGUGUCAGUCAAGGCACCUUUCCCUUCUUUAAGACGCUGGAACAUUGAUUCUGACGUUAUCAGUGAAAUUAACUGAUCUGAGACAUUGAAAGGAUUCUCGUUACAGCACAUCAGGGAUUUCAACCUAAUUUCGACUUUGGGACAAUCAGAAUACUUGGUUACAGACAAGACAUUGAAAGACUUGAAGGGAUGACUCUGAAGAAGAAUCAUACGGACUCAAAAUGUUAAUUCUGUUUUUUUUACUCUCCACGGAUGCUGUUAGACCUGCUGAGUUUUUCCAGCAUUUUAUGGUUUUAUUGCCCUUGAACUGAGCCGCUUGUCACAUCAUAAGAAGUUAAGAGUCAACCACAUUGCUGUGGGUCUGGAAUCACACGUAGGCCAGAUCAGGUUUGCAACUCAAUUUGUGUUGGAGAUUGAAGAGAAUCUGAUCUCAAAAUAAGGUCACAAAGCAGCAGAUAUUGCCAAUCCCCAGUUACCUGUGGAGAAGAUGAUGUUUGACCUUCUUGAAUCGCUGCAGUCCGUGUGGUGGAAGGUGCUCCCACAAUGCUCUUAGUUUCACAGGAUAUUAGAAGGGGAGGAUUUGCAGUCAGAGAACAGCAUCUGAAGGAGUUGCCCAAUACAUUGUAGCCUGAAUAGCACAACAUUUUGAACAUGGAAGGAAAAAGCACUGUUCAAAUUGGAGAGAAACUGUGGAAAUGUGGGGACUGUGAGGAGAGAUUCAGUUACUCAUGUCAGCGAGAAACUCAUCGACGCAUUCACACUGGGGAAAGACCGUUCACCUGCUCCGUGUGUGGGAAGGGAUUCUCUCGAUCAUCCCAGCUGAUUACACACCAGCGAAUUCACACCGGGGAGAAACCAUUCACCUGCUUCGAGUGUGGGAAGGGAUUCACUCAGUUAUCCAACCUGCUGAGGCACCAGCGAGUUCACACUGGGGAGAGACCUUUUAAAUGCCCAGAUUGUGGGAAAUGCUCUAAAAGUUCAUGGGAACUGCUGCUCCAUCAACGUGUUCACACUGACAAGAGACCAUUUAGGUGCUCUCACUGUGGGACUGGGUUCAAGCGAUCAUCUCACCUCACUGUACACCAGCGAGUUCACACUGGUGAGAAACCGUUCAC